AUAUGUCCGAGGAACGGAUAAGUACAAUAGAACAACUUUUGCAGAGAGCCGGGAUUGAUGGUGCAAGCCGGUAAGGGACGCUAUUGGAAUAUGGUCCGGGAGGAUUCGCUUUCAAGCUGCAGCAUAUGGUACCGGCUGGGUAAGGGAGCGACGCGAAGCUGGCGUUAACGGCGAUAGCCGCCGAGUAGGCGGCACACGAAGCUUUCCCGGAAAGCCUGUUUAACUGGUUUUUCGUGAUUGAAAUUUGGGUGGUACCGCGUGAGUUCUAACUCUCGUCCCAUGA
rnacentral:ncRNA from 1 species